GACAGAGGGGGCAAGCGUUGCUCGGAAUUACUGGGCGUAAAGGGCGCGUAGGCGGGAUGGCAAGUCGGUCGUGAAAUCCCUCGGCUCAACUGAGGAUCGUCGAUCGAUACUGCUGUUCUUGAGGAUUGCAGAGGAGACUGGAAUUCCCGGUGUAGCGGUGAAAUGUGUAGAGAUCGGGAGGAACACCGGUGGCGAAGGCGGGUCUCUGGGCAAUUCCUGAGCUGAGGCGCGAAAGCGUGGGGAGCAAACGGG
rnacentral:rRNA from 1 species